CAAAUACUCCCUCCGUUCGGAAUUACUUGUCUCGAAAAUGGAUGUAUCUAGAACUAAAAUACAUCUAGAUACAUCCAUUUCUACAACAAGUAAUUCCGAACGGAGGGAGUAAAAU
rnacentral:pre_miRNA from 1 species